AUGAAGAUAAUAGCUUGGAACUGCCGGGGGCUUGGGAACCCGCCGGCAGUUCAUAGCCUUCUGAAGUUCCAGAGGGCGGAAGGGCCUGAUAUUAUAUUCCUCUCCGAAACGAAGAUGAAGGCGAAGGAGAUAGAGUUCUUGAGGUGUUGUUUGAAUAUGGUGAACAUGGUGGUGGUGGAUAGUGUUGGAUGGAGUGGGGGUUUGGCGCUGUUCUGGAGGAGAGGGGUGGAUGUAAGUUUGAGGUGGAAGGGACGUUACCAUAUAGAUGUUGAUGUGGUGGAAGAGAAUGGGAGUAAGUGGCGGUUGACGGGUGUGUACGGAGAAUCUAAAGCAGGUGAAAAAGAGAACACUUGGAGGCUUCUUAGAACGUUGCAUGGACAGGCCGAUCUGCCAUGGCUUUGUCUAAGGGAUUUUAACGAGAUUUUAUUUGCGGGGGAGAACGAAGGAGGGCCGGCUCGGGGCCAGGGAUGCAUGGAUUCAUUGCCUGGAAUUCUGUGA
rnacentral:rRNA from 1 species